GCUCUCAAGCGUCGCUUAAGGAUGAGCCUGCGGUGUAUUAGCUAGGUUGGGUGGGUAAUGGCCUACAAGGCAACGAUGCAUAGCCGGACUGAGAGGUUGAACGGCCACACUGGGACUGAGACACGGCCCAGACUCCUACGGGAGACAGCCAGUUAGGAAUAUUCGGCAAUGGGGGAAACCCUGACCGAGCAAUGCCGCGUGUGGGAUGACUGUCCUUUGGAUUGUAAACCACUUUUAUUAGGAAAGAACUGUAAGUAUAGGAAAUGAUACUUACUUGACGGUACCUUUGAAUAAGCCCCGGCUAACUACGUG
rnacentral:rRNA from 1 species